rnacentral:rRNA from 1 species
UAAUAGUAGCAAUACGGUACUGGCGCACGGCGCACGGGUGCGUAACACGUGGGUAAUCUGCCCUCUGAUGGGGAAUAACUCGCCGAAAGGCGAGCUAAUACCGCAUAACAUUCCUUGGACUCCGGUUUGAGGACUCAAAGCCGUAAGGCGUCGGAGGUGGAGCCCGCGCACGAUUAGCUAGUUGGUAGGGUAACGGCCUACCAAGGCUAUGAUCGUUAGCUGGUCUGAGAGGAUGGCCAGCCACACUGGAACUGAGACACGGUCCAGACUCCUACGGGAGGCAGCAGUGGGGAAUCUUGCGCAAUGGGCGAAAGCCUGACGCAGCGACGCCGCGUGGGGGAUGAAGCUUCUCGGAGUGUAAACCCCUUUCGACCGGGACGAAUACCUCGCAAGAGGGGUGACGGUACCGGUAUAAGAAGCCCCGGCUAACUACGUGCCAGCAGCCGCGGUAAGACGUAGGGGGCCAGCGUUGUUCGGAAUUACUGGGUGUAAAGGGUUCGUAGGCGGUGUGGCAAGUCGGGAGUGAAAUCUCUGGGCUCAACUCAGGGGCUGCUUCCGAAACUGCUGUGCUAGAGUGUGGGAGAGGCGCGUGGAAUUGCAGGUGUAGCGGUGAAAUGCGUAGAUAUCUGCAGGAACACCCGUGGCGAAAGCGGCGCGCUGGACCACUACUGACGCUGAGGAACGAAAGCUAGGGGAGCAAACAGGAUUAGAUACCCUGGUAGUCCUAGCCCUAAACGAUCAGGACUUGGGGUGCCACCCGUUCGGGUGUCGUCCCGGAGCUAACGCGUUAAGUCCUGCACCUGGGGAGUACGGUCGCAAGACUGAAACUCAAAGGAAUUGACGGGGGCCCGCACAAGCGGUGGAACAUGUGGUUCAAUUCGACG